GUUAAGUCCCGCAACGAGCGCAACCCUUAUCCUUUGUUGCCAGCGGUUCGGCCGGGAACUCAAAGGAGACUGCCCGUGAUAAACUGGAGGAAGGGGGGGAUGACCUCCAGUCAUCAUGGCCCUUACCAGUAGGGCUACACACGUGCUACAAUGGCGUAUACAAAAAGAAGCGACCUCGCGAGAGCAAGCGGACCUCAUAAAGUACGUCGUAAUCCGGAUUGGAGUCUGCAACUCGACUCCAUGAAGUCGGAAUCGCUAGUAAUCGUAAAUCAA
rnacentral:rRNA from 1 species